ACUCUUAAUUUCAGCCCAGCAGGGAAAUAAAAACAAGACAGAACCAGGAAAGCAUCUGGCACCAGGCUAAGAGGGGAUCCCUCUCUUUGCUCUUUUGACUGCAGCAAACGCCAGAGCAGAGCAGAGGGAGCUUAGCAAUAACUCUCCUUAAGGUUUGCCAAGGAAGCCCUUAGUAAGAUAAUGGGCUAUUUGUUAGGGCACUGUUGAAGGAUAUGAACUCUACCAAAAGGAGGCACUCAAAUAACUCUCUGUAUGAGCUCACUGGACCACCACAUGUCUCCAUGGCCAGCAAAAGAGGUUUUAGCCUGUGGAAACAACCCCUAGCCAAAGGCUCUAGUCUAAAUAAUAUUUAGUCAGUGCUUUAAAGAAAAUAAAAACGUCCUGUUCAAUUAGAUUCUUCGUGAAUUCAAAUGAUUUUUACUAGAACAAAAGGAAACAAAAAGAAGAAAGAAGAUUCUGUUUUACAAAACAAUGAAGACUCAAGAGUUAGGCAUAGAGUAUACCUAAAUGUUGAAACAGAGAGUAUGAAAAGAAGACUUUGCGAGUAUUUUAACACAUGAGAAGUUUGAGAGUCUGUCUACCUGCUGCAUCUUCAGAGAAAAACAAGCCAUCAUCACUGCUGGAAAGCUCCCACCACUGCAUAUACUCAACAGCCCCUGAAUAAUGGUUAAUCAUCUCAGCCUUCACUAGUUCUCUGAGGGACAGACAAAGGGAGGCAAGAGUUUCAACCAGAAUCUGCAUGUGUUAAGUCUUUUGGAGUUGUUGCUAAGUGGGGUUACGUAGACCUUCAUAAACAUUAUAGGCUAUUACCGUUGUUCAUGGUCAUCUUCCAGAACUGGUUAGCAAGAUCAUAUUGCUAAAACCAUUACAUGCUUGCAUUGUCUAACAUGUUGGAAUCAAGCUGUUAGGAACCUCUGUGCUUCAUCUCUAUUGGAUGUUUCAUGGUGCUAGACAGUGGUAUACAAGUUAGCAGAGGAGAAAAGGUAUCAUCGUCCUUAUUGAAAAUGACAUUUUUUUUUACUAAUUUUUAUUAAUUUACUCAUUUUGGACAUGAGUGUUGAAUGUUUGACAGCAAUGUAAGCAGAAUCUUGACAAAGACUUGUAUUGUUCUCUAAAGUUCCUGACGCCUGCACCUUUAUAAUCAGGACUGCCCAGUUCUACCAUCUCAAUAGUUGUGUAUGUGUUUUAUGUUUUGAAGUUUUGCCUUUUCCAGAAUCUACUUUGUCUCUGGUAUAAAGUAGCAUCAUGGGAUGGCCCCCUGGGUGCAUUUGUUUCCCCUAGGAUAAUACUUGAGAUCCAUUCUUAUUGCAUUUGCUGGUAAUUUCUCUGCUCUAUGGAGUGCUAUGCUCUACCAUGUCAUGAUUUGUUUAUCAUUUACAGUUAAUGGGUAUUUGGGUUGUAUCCACUUUUUUGUUGGUGAUUAUGAAUAUCUGUUUGUUAACAUUGGUUCAUUUGUAUAUAGGAAUGUGUGAGUUUUAUUUCUCUUGGGUACAUAUCUAAGGAGAAAAUAACUGGAUAAACUAGUGUAGUGUUUGACUUUUUGCUUUUAACAGUCUGGUCUUAGUUUUAGAAUGAUUUUUACAGUUUUAUAUCUCAAUAUUGCCACAGAACUUGUCUUUGAUUUCAGUCCUUUAUUUAAUCUAUUCUGAUAUGAUGGAGUUGGUAUCUUAAUGUGGUCCAAACUAUAGUUUCCCUAAUGACUAAUAAAAUGUACCAGCUUUUAGUGUGUUUAUUUGCUCCAUAUCA